rnacentral:rRNA from 1 species
CUCCUCUUGUUUUGUUUUUUGGAGGUAGGACCUGCCCACUGAAGUUUUGAAGGGCCGCGGUAUUUUGACCGUGCAAAGGUAGCAUAAUCAUUAGUCUUUUAAUUGUGGGCUGGUAUGAAUGGUUUGACGAGGCACAAUCUGUCUUGGGUUAAUAUUUUAUUGAAUUUGGGUUUUAGAUAAAAAUAUCUAAAUUUUUUUAUGGGACGAGAAGACCCUAUAGAGUUUUAUAUUAGUCCUUUUUUAUUUGUUUGUUUUUGUUAUUUUUAGUUGGGGUUUUAUUUUGUUGGGGUGACAUGAAGAUUUAUUUAACUCUUCUUUUGGUUUGUUUAUAUACAUUAAUAGUUUGCUGAUCCUUUAUUAUUGAUUUUAAGAUUAAAUUACCUUAGGGAUAACAGCGUAAUCUUUCUUGAAAGUUCUUAUUGACAGGGGGGUUUGCGACCUCGAUGUUGGAUUAGGGUGAAUUUUUGGUGUAGAGGCUUAAGAAAUUAGGUCUGUUCGACCUUUAAAACCUUACA